AUUGAACGCUGGCGGCAGGCCUAACACAUGCAAGUCGAGCGAGCGGCGGACGGGUGAGUAAUGUAUGGGGACUGCCCGAUAGAGGGGGAUAACUACUGGAAACGGUAGCUAAUACCGCAUACUAUCGGAUAACCCAUAUGGGAUUAGCUAGUAGGUGAGGUAAUGGCCUACCUAGGCGACGAUCCCUAGCUGGUCUGAGAGGAUGCUCAGCGACACUGGGACUGAGACACUGCCCAGACUCCUACGGAGGCAGCAGUGGGGAAUAUUGCACAAUGGGCGCAAGCCUGAUUCAGCCAGGCCGCGUGUGUUAAGAAGGCCCUAGGGUUGUAAAGAACUUUCAGUCGGUAGGCGUUACCGACAGAAGAAGCACCGGCUAACUCCGUGCCAGCAGCCGCGGUAAUAC
rnacentral:rRNA from 1 species